rnacentral:lncRNA from 1 species
GGUUAUUCACAGGCAAAUUUCUAUAUGCUAUAGAGGUACAUUUGUGUCUUUUUGUCGAGAGCAAAACUUUAUUUAUUUUCAAUCAAAAAUAAUUGUUCUGAAAGCAACCUUUCUCCGACACAAAGGAAGUCAUAGCGGGCACCUACGAAGGACUGUGUGAUGAUGGAAUCUCAGAGAGCGAGCUGAUCAAGGGGUCAAAAAUGUAGACAUUGCCAGAUGUUCACUGUCCGAGGAACAGGCCGUGGAAGCUUUAUUGCUGGCAAGUGUCCAUAAGCAGAGCCAAGGCAUUACAGAACUUCCCACCACAAGAAGACCAAGCAGCGGGGUAAGGAGCUGGAGAGGAGUUAUUUUGAGUCGUGGACUUGGGAGGAGAUUUUAGCAGGAGAGGGACCAUGGAGGAAGGCUGGAGAGGACCGGGACUGUUAUGUUGGGGGCACACGGGUAGUUUGGCUGGGCCAGGGUUGAGCCCUAAGCCAACUCCCCGUGCUUACCGAAGGCAGCGUGGUACUGGUCAGGCCCCGUGCUAUGGGGUGAUGCGCACGGCGUCGAGGCCGAGCAUUCACAGGCCGGUGGGCUCGGUGCCAGCGUCCCGCAUUUGCCAGGGGGAAGCGGGCACCCAGCCAGUAUGGGUGGUGCCAGUCCUGCGCUCGAGACCGCCAGUGCGUCUCCACGGUCCAUUGUAUCCUGUUCCCGCUUCUCGCACUAGCCUUGGGGUGCGUGUCUCCAGUCUGGUACCUCCACUACCAGCCCCACGCAUUAGGCUUCCAGUGCGUCAGCCCAGUCCAGCUCAUCCUGCUCCUGCUCCUCGCACUAGCCCUGUGGUGCGUGUCCUUAGGCUGGCGCCUCCUAAGCCAGCCCCACGCAUCAGGCUUUCAGUGCGCAGUCCCGUCCAGAGCUUCCGACGACAGUACCCCAUCCAGAGCUUCCGUCAACAGUGCCUCGUCCAGAGCUGCCGGCAACAGUGCCCCGUCCAGAGUGUCCGGCAACAGUGCCCCGUCCAGAGUGUCCGGCAACAGUGCC